AUGUCAGUGUCGGGGCACCGCACUCAGACUGCUGGCGGCGAGGACCCAGGGGCCCUGCGGGGUCAGCGGCGAUGUGCGAGCAGGGUCCUCGGAGCCCCAGGGCCCACCUUUGACAAGCGCUGGAGGAGAACCUGUGCUGGGGGUCCCUGUGCUGGGGGCAUCCCUGUGCUGGAGGUCUCUGUGCUGGCGGGAUCCCUGUACUGUGGGGGGGUCCCUGUGCCUGUGCUGGGGGGCUCUGUGCUGCGGGCCCUGUGCCGGGGGCAUCCCUGUGCUGGGGGGAUCCCUGUGCUGGGGGGCCCUGUGCUGGGGGCAUCCCUGUGCUGGAGGUCUCUCUGCUGGGGGGAUCCCUGUACUGGGGGGGGGUCCCUGUGCCUGUGCUGGGGGGCUCUGUGCUGCGGGCCCUGUGCUGGGGGCAUCCCUGUGCUGGGGGGAUCCCUGUAUUGGGGGGCCCUGUGCUGGGGGGAUCCCUGUGCUGGAGGUCUCUGUGCUUGGGGGGAUCCCUGUACUGGGGAGGAGUCCCUGUGCUGGAUCCCUGUGCUGCGGGCCCUGUGCUGGGGGGAUCCCUGUGCUGGGGGCCCUGUGCUGGGGGGCCCUGUGCUGGGGGGAUCCCUGGGCUGGGGGGGUCCCUGUGCUGGGGGGCCCUGUGCUGA
rnacentral:lncRNA from 1 species